rnacentral:rRNA from 1 species
GUAGUCUCGCACAGAUGCAUAUCAAUAAGCGGAGGAAAAGAAACUAACAAGGAUUCCCUUAGUAACGGCGAGUGAAAGCGGGAAGAGCUCAAAUUUGAAAUCUUCAAGGUUUUACCUUGACGAAUUGUAGUUUAAAGAAGUGUUUUCUGUUGAAGUUUUGGUAAAAGUUCUUUGGAAUAGGACAUCAUAGAGGGUGAGUAAUCCCGUAUUUGACCAUUAUUUUCAGCUGUGUGAUACACUUUCAAAGAGUCGGAUUGUUUGGGAAUGCAGUCCAAAAUGGGUGGUAAAUUUCAUCUAAAGCCAAAUAUUGGCGAGAGACCGAUAGCGAACAAGUACCGUGAGGGAAAGAUGAAAAGAACUUUGAAAAGAGAGUUAAACAGUACGUGAAUUGUCAAAAGGGAAGCGUUUGACACCAGUGUUGUUUUCUCGAAAAUCAAUUAAAAAGAGUUAGAUUUUGUUGUGUAUUGACCUUAACAGCUUGCAUUUCAAUUUUCUUGCUUUUUUUAAUGCACUUUUCGUUUAACAAGUCAACAUCAGUUUCUUUUGUUGUAAAAAGGUCAUUGGAAGGUGGCUUUCUUUUCGGAGAAAGUGUUUAUAGCCUUUGACUCCUGCAAUCGGAGAGACUGAGGUCUGCAGCGUAGAUCCUUCGGGGUUAGAUACAUUUGUGCUAAGUUAUAGCUUUUUAUAGACAACUUGUUGACUAUGAUUAGUCUUGUAGCUUACUCGCUUAUGCUAUUUUACCUACGCUUAGGAUGUUGAGCGCAUGUCUCUCUCU